GGAACUAACAGAUUUACUUCGGUAAUGACGUUAGGAAAGCGAGCGGCGGAUGGGUGAGUAACACGUGGGGAACCUGCCCCAUAGUCUGGGAUACCACUUGGAAACAGGUGCUAAUACCGGAUAAGAAAGCAGAUCGCAUGAUCAGCUUUUAAAAGGCGGCGUAAGCUGUCGCUAUGGGAUGGCCCCGCGGUGCAUUAGCUAGUUGGUAAGGUAAAGGCUUACCAAGGCGAUGAUGCAUAGCCGAGUUGAGAGACUGAUCGGCCACAUUGGGACUGAGACACGGCCCAAACUCCUACGGGAGGCAGCAGUAGGGAAUCUUCCACAAUGGACGCAAGUCUGAUGGAGCAACGCCGCGUGAGUGAAGAAGGUUUUCGGAUCGUAAAGCUCUGUUGUUGGUGAAGAAGGAUAGAGGUAGUAACUGGCCUUUAUUUGACGGUAAUCAACCAGAAAGUCACGGCUAACUACGUGCCAGCAGCCGCGGUAAUACGUAGGUGGCAAGCGUUGUCCGGAUUUAUUGGGCGUAAAGCGAGCGCAGGCGGAAGAAUAAGUCUGAUGUGAAAGCCCUCGGCUUAACCGAGGAACUGCAUCGGAAACUGUUUUUCUUGAGUGCAGAAGAGGAGAGUGGAACUCCAUGUGUAGCGGUGGAAUGCGUAGAUAUAUGGAAGAACACCAGUGGCGAAGGCGGCUCUCU
rnacentral:rRNA from 1 species